GAUGAACGCUGGCGGCGUGCCUAAUACAUGCAAGUCGAGCGAACAGAUGAGGAGCUUGCUCCUCUGACGUUAGCGGCGGACGGGUGAGUAACACGUGGAUAACCUACCUAUAAGACUGGGAUAACUUCGGGAAACCGGAGCUAAUACCGGAUAAUAUAUUGAACCGCAUGGUUCAAUAGUGAAAGACGGUUUUGCUGUCACUUAUAGAUGGAUCCGCGCCGCAUUAGCUAGUUGGUAAGGUAACGGCUUACCAAGGCAACGAUGCGUAGCCGACCUGAGAGGGUGAUCGGCCACACUGGAACUGAGACACGGUCCAGACUCCUACGGGAGGCAGCAGUAGGGAAUCUUCCGCAAUGGGCGAAAGCCUGACGGAGCAACGCCGCGUGAGUGAUGAAGGUCUUCGGAUCGUAAAGCUCUGUUAUUAGGGAAGAACAAAUGUGUAAGCAACUAUGCACGUCUUGACGGUACCUAAUCAGAAAGCCACGGCUAACUACGUG
rnacentral:rRNA from 1 species